AGUACUAUACUGUAUGUGUACAUUACAGUACAGUACUGCAGUUCAUAAUGCAUUCUGGGUAAAUUUGUUUGAGCGGGAAAAUUUUACAGUAUAUUUUGGUCUUGAUGUAACCUUGCUGUAGCCAUUGCUGUAAUGUGCCAGGUGUACUUGCAAUAAUCAGUGAAAGUGCGCCAACGUCAAAUCACACAGACAGAGGGAGAGCACAACUCUUGGCUGCAGCUGAAGGAGGACGAUUGAUUUCUGUCAGUUCGUCUUACCAUUGCUUGUAAGCUGGAUUGGGUAAGAUGGAUCAUCUUUAAAGGAACCAGGAGUUAAGGCAGAUGUGGAGGCACAACGGGUGAUACCAGACACACACCAAGCACAUUAUGUUCGGACAUUCAAUCAUGACAUGAUCCAUGUGGAUGCUGUCCAUUGAGGAAAGAGUUUGUUCCGAGGUUUCUGGAUAGAAUUAAUUCCAAAGAUGGGAAAAAAUGCACAUCCAGACAAGGAGCAAGCAAAAAGACAAGGAACUUGGUGCAGAGAAAAGCUGUGGCCAUUAACCCCCAUGUGAACAGCUUCAUGCAGUCCCUGAUUGAGUUCGAAUGGACGACUUCAAAGUAAAGGCCACUGUGGUCUGUCUGCCAGUUUAAUGCAUUUAUUUUUAGUGUUAAAUGAAAUUCAAGUAGAAUAUUUAAAACUAUGGGCCAGUGUUCUUUUUACCACAGUGAAAUGUUACCUUUUAGUCGAUGAUGGACUUUAAACUGAAAACUUCAAACUAUGGAACAGUGUUCUAUUUGCCAGAGUUAAAUAUGUUACAGCAGGGGUCUCCAAACUUGUUUAUACUUGUUGAUUUUAUUUUAUGUUACUUGAUUAUAUGUUUAUUAUUGUUUAAAAUCUUGUUUUAAAUGUUUUGUUUCAAUUAAAUGUUUUUUUAAAUAAAAUUUUGAUACAAACAUUGCUUGGAUUGCCUUUUAAUUCAUUAUGUCAUGUCAAGGAUAGCAUUUUUACCAUAUUAAUAACUAUAGAUUUAAACCUAAAUCUCUAUCUAUUUUAUAUAAUAUUAUUGUAUUAACUGUAAUAAGUAAUAAAUAGUAUUUAUGGGUCAAUAUAGACAUUACAGUAAAUUACUGUAAAAAUAGACUACUGUAAUAAAAUAUUGUAAAAUUACAGUACAGUACUGCUUUGUAACUAUACAGUACUAGUUUGUGUACUGUAAAAUGGUAUUACAGUACAGUACUGUAAACCCAAAAUACAGUAACUUACUGGCAACCGUGCUGCCAGUACCGUACUGUA